rnacentral:tRNA from 1 species
GUUUCUAUGGUGUAUAGAGCAUAAAAGGUUGUGGUCCUUUACGAAGCGAGAGUCUUGGGGGUC